AAACCAGCACACAGACACACACCCACACACACUUACAGGGGCACCACACACACACACACACACACACGUAAAAGCACACACACAAACCAGCACACAGACACACACGUACAAGCAUAAACACGCACAAGCACAAACGUGCACCAGCAUACACCGAGACGCACACACACACAUAAACACACACACCGACACAUACACACACCGACACACACAAAAACACACACACACAGAGAGGAUCCUACCGUUGGGUGAGCCAGUCGGGUCUUUGAGUUCUUUCUGCGCCUCCUCGAUUUUAUCUGCAACACAAGAACACAGGAGGGCAUGUUGUCACAAGGCAGCACUGGAGCAGGAGGAGGAGAAGGAGACAGACGUCCGCCAGACAGGAGGAGGAGAGGAGGACAGGAGGGGAGGAGGGGAGGAGGGGAGGAGGAGAGGAGGGGUGUUCUCAGCAGCUGAGUGCAGGCAGGAGAUGCUUCCCACUCGGAGGGUUGGAAGGGCUAAUGUGAACCAGACCUCCUCCUCCUCCACCACCUCCUCCUCUGUGCUGCUGGAGGGACGGAAGCGACAGAGCGCCAUGGAAACUAACCGGAGCACUGCACACACACGCACACACACACACACACACACACACACACACACACACACACACGUGCAUGCACAGACACACACAAACAAAUGUGCCUGCACAAACACACACACAUGGCUUCACACUUGCACAUGCACGCAAACACACAGACAAACAAACACUGGACUACAAAACAAGUAUGUCAACAUCACAAUUACACUAACACCACACGCGUGUGUCUGGGGUGGGUCUUUAUUUUCUUCCCUAAUUAAGAAAUAUUGUAUGACAAACCCAAUGGAUCAAUAGACACAGGAUCAAUGGUGUGUCAUUAUUAAAGUGGAACUUAACGGGCCUACACACACAUACUUUAAAUUAGGACACAAUCCCCUCAUGAUUAACGAAUGUGAUGGGACAAGCGAACGCUGACAGAUCAAUAACAGAUUCACUCAUUCAUUCCUUAUUGCUCUGGAGUUUAUUGGCCACCCGCAUGUGCACACACACACACACACACGCACAAAUCAUGACAUCAUCUUCUAAUACACAAAACGACGAAACACCUCCACAUAUGGUUCCCACAUUACCGCUGUGACCACCUGAUUACGUUUAAAUCUAUGUUGACAUGUUCUCUUGUUCGCCCGCGGGGAGCAGCUCAGCUAAACAAAGACGCCCCAGCCUCUGCAGAAACACAGCGAGCACCACACAAGCUUCAGUGUGUGGGUGUGUGCGAGUGUGCAUCUCUGCCUUUGUGCAUGUGUGUUUGAGUGUGUUUGUCCGUGGGGGUUUCAGUUGUGUGUGUGGGUGGGUGCACAGUGUCUGUACAGCGUGUGUGUGUGUGUGUGUUUGUGUUUGUGUGUCAGGUUUUUUUCAGUCUUAAUUUGUACAUGUUUAUGUCUCAGUGUGUGUGUGUGUGUGUGUGUGUGUGUAUUCAUGUUGUCAUGUCUCUGUGUGUGCAUGCUCUUUUUGAGUAUUGUCUAUAUCGAUAACAUGUCCAAGUGUGCAGUGUGUUUGUGUGCACAUGUUUAUGUGGUUAUUUGAGAGAGUGUGCGUGUGUGUGUGUAUGCGUGUGUGAGUUGCAGCCCGGUGGUGUAGCAUGAGAAAGCCUCUACCUAAUCUACAACUACACACAGAGAUGAUGCAUGACCAGUGUGCGAGUGUGUGUGCAUGUGCGCGCGCGUGCGUGUGUAUAUCUGUGUGUGCUUGUGCGUGUGUGUGUGUCUGUGCGUGUGUGUGCGUGCGUGAAUAUCUGUGUGUGCUUGUGCAUGUGCGUGUGUGCAUGUGUGUGUGUGCGCGCGCGUGCGUGUGUGUGGUUGUGUGUGCGUGUGUGUGUUGUCCUGGCAGAGAAAGCAUGAGGGCUUGACAUGGCUCCAAGAAGCCAAGUAUAGGUGCCCCGUGCUGGGCCGAGUCCCAGUGCUCUGCCCCUCUGCCUGGCUCUCAGCACCCGGGUGGGGAGGGCCUUCUAGCGGUGGUUAGGGGGUUCGGACUCUCAGUCUAACGGUUCUGGGGUCUGUAUUCACUGUCUAGCCCCGACCUGCUCCUUAAUGACCUGUCUCUGUAUUCACUGUCUAACCCCUACCUGCUCCUUGAUGUUCUGUCUCUGUAUUCACUGUCUAACCCCUACCUGCUCCUUAAUGACCCGUCUCUGUAUUCACUGUCUAACCCCUACCUGCUCCUUGAUGUUCUGUCUCUGUAUUCACUGUCU
ensembl:lncRNA